rnacentral:rRNA from 1 species
AUUGAACGCUGGCGGCAGGCCUAACACAUGCAAGUCGAGCGGAUGAAGGGAGCUUGCUCCUGGAUUCAGCGGCGGACGGGUGAGUAAUGCCUAGGAAUCUGCCUGGUAGUGGGGGAUAACGUCCGGAAACGGGCGCUAAUACCGCAUACGUCCUGAGGGAGAAAGUGGGGGAUCUUCGGACCUCACGCUCUCAGAUGAGCCUAGGUCGGAUUAGCUAGUUGGUGGGGUAAAGGCCUACCAAGGCGACGAUCCGUAACUGGUCUGAGAGGAUGGUCAGUCACACUGGAACUGAGACACGGUCCAGACUCCUACGGGAGGCAGCAGUGGGGAAUAUUGGACAAUGGGCGAAAGCCUGAUCCAGCCAGGCCGCGUGUGUGAAGAAGGUCUUCGGAUUGUAAAGCACUUUAAGUUGGGAGGAAGGGCAGUAAGUUAAUACCUUGCUGUUGUGACGGUACCAACAGAAUAAGCACCGGCUAACUUCGUG